CAUGAAGGUGGUUAACAGGUUAAAGGGGAGGUGCUGGUGGUGUUCUUCUAUUGACAUGCUUUAGGACUGUGAGGCUCUGAGUCUCCUGUUCUAGUCUUGUUCUUCUAUUUUCAAGAUAGGAAAAGUUGUGUUUGACGAAGAGUGGGGUCAGAGACGACGAGAUAGCUGGGACAUAAGUACAAAUAAAAUACCUUCCUCGUAUUAUGUAAGAUUUGACACACCAAAAGUAAAUGAUGGAAAAAGAAAUGGGGCUCAGUUUCCUCCAUCUUCUUCCAGCUGGUUGCCCCUCAUGUCUCUGAUGUCAGCUACUGGAAAGGAAAUGGGAAAUUAAUGUGAGUGAACACACACACUUGUUCAAAAGGGAGACUCUGAAACAGGAUGUUCACUCUGUGGUUAAUACCAAGACCGGAUUCCUAGCUUUGCCAUUCCAGCCCAGACUAACUUGCAUUUAUAUCUGAGCAGGCUCCUUGGAAUGUCUGACACCAUUAACCCUGCAGGCAGAAGUGAUGGACAAGGACAAAUGAGGGACUUCUGUCUGCUUCUACUAUGACAGAAGCUUCAGGUGAUAUUGAUCAGUUGGUCAUCCUCAUCUGGGUGGAGCAUCACAAAGAAAACCAACCUUGGAAGAGAAAAGAAAAAGGUCAAAUAAAACUAAAAAGUUGUGGUAACAGUGAGUCAGAGGAGCACAUUAAAUACAGAGAAACACUGAAUUGCAUGAUGAGCAAAAGUUAAUUGCAAAGAUAAAUGAACCAGGUACAGCAUGCAAAGGAAGGUCUGAAGCCCUUCUGCUGUGGAAAGAACAGUGAGCUCUUAGAAAAUACAAAUAACUGAACAGUGGGAUCAUAACUACCUAUUCUCUAACAUGGAGACAAGAAAACCUCCAAGUGAUUUUUUUUUCUACAAUUGAGCAUAUACUAGAGUAGCCAAGAUUGUAAGAUACUAUAAGAUGAGAUGAAUUUGGGCACUGAGGUUUUGUUACUCCACGUGAGAGAAGAAAGAUAGUUUAAUAUUCAGUGUCCUUGUGUAAUGACUCCAUUACAUUUCAACUAUGUACUGACUCAUUUCUCCAGCCACAUAAACUCUUUUGACUAUGUUUAGGUUUCUAGGGUGAAAUGGUAUAGACUGGUUCAUUUGUUUCAGCUCUUUGCUGUGCCUCAGGUGUAGAAGGGGUAAGCACCAUGCCUAGCAUUACAGGAUGGACAGCUAGAAGUUUGAACAUCAGAAGUUAAGUUUAUCUCCUGCUGUGCAGCUCUCUUAUGCUUUUCUAACCCUGAGUCAGCCCACUGCCUGGAACAUUCUUUGGGGGAUGCAUCACUCACAGGAUUUUAGUUCUUUCCAGCUUGGAAUAUCUUCCUCCGGAAAAAACAGAAAGACUAUGGAUCCAGAUGAGAGGGGAGAUGCUGAGGAACUGGAAGGAGUAGGGGGAGGAGAAAACCUACUCAGAACAUACUGGAUGAAAAUAAUCUAUUUGCAAUAAAAGAAAAAACAAUAGCCAAUCCUGUUAUACAUAGUUUUCCAUCGGUAAUAAAUAAAAACCAAA